CCUACGGGAGGCAGCAGUGAGGAAUAUUGGUCAAUGGGCUUACGCCUGAACCAGCCAAGUCGCGUGCGGGAAGACUGCCCUAUGGGUUGUAAACCUCUUUUGUCAGGGAGCAACGCCGGCUACGUGUAGCCGGACUGAGAGUACCUGAAGAAAAAGCAUCGGCUAACUCGGUGCCAGCAGCCGCGGUAAUACGGAGGAUGCGAGCGUUAUCCGGUUUUUUUGGGUUUAAGGGGUGCGUAGGCGGAAUGUCAAGUCAGCGGGAAAAUCGCGGGGCUCAACCUCGCUCCGCCGUUGAUACUGGCGUUCUUGAGUGGGCGAGAAGUAUGCGGAAUGCGUGGUGUAGCGGUGAAAUGCAUAGAUAUCACGCAGAACACCGAUUGCGAAGGCAGCAUACCGGCGCCCAACUGACGCUGAAGCACGAAAGCGUGGGUAUCGAACAGGAUUAGAUACCCGUGUAGUC
rnacentral:rRNA from 1 species